GCAACAGCGCGAUGGAGCUGGAGAUGCCAGUGGAGGUGCGCCUCUGCUCUAGCUGGUGGAUCUUACGGAGGAGCUCGGCCAGAAGGUGGAAGGCCAGCUCCUUGAUGCAGGGCGCCAGGUUCAUGGGGCUCUGACCCACCCAGUAGCUCCACCACUUGCAGCAGCACCGAGGAGGGCACAGUGUCCGGCUCAUCCUCCGCCCGCUCGCCCUCCUCGCCCAGCGUCCACGUCAGCAGCUGCUCGGCAAAGGCGAGGGCCAGCGGGAACUCCAGCGGCAGGGAGUGCAGGGCCAGCACGGCUCCAGGAGGGGGCGACACGCCUAGGGGACAGUGACACCACACAGUGCUGUAGACUAUUUAUCUGACAGCUGAAAUUUCUGAUCAUAUGCCACCCAGGUCAACAACUCCAGUAUCGAGUCAGACUCCUAAAUUAGCAUAAAUAUAAGACCUAUUUGUCAAAUAAAAAUACUUUCUAGGCAAACACAAAUUAGCAAAAACUGUAGCAACCACAGGAACAGGACUGGUUUAGUCAGGUAUUCACCAAAGACAAAGGCACUGACCAAUCAGAGCAGUUCUUCACUGGGACACACAAGACAGGGCAGCCUGUUCAGCAAACUCACCCAGCUUGAUGUGCACCUUGUCCGUGGGAAUGAUGAUAGAGGGAUACUGGUUGGUGGUGGGUGGGGGAGUAAGGCCCGUGUUAGAAGGUGAGGCAUCCAGCGGGUAGCACACGGCCUCCGUCAGGCUCAGCUGCCCAUUGCGUCGCACCUUGUGCCCCAGGCCAUACACCAUGACUCGAGCCCAGGGGGCCUUGUAAAGGGAGGAGCUAGGGAGACAUGUGGCAUGUUCAUGUCAGCCCACUAACACAUGGCGAUUGGCCAAGGCAAUACACCAAUCAGGGGACACCACAGAACUUGGAAUCUCACUGACUGCCGCCAAUCGAAUCCCUCAGUACAGGUCAGGAAACACAAAGCGUUUUAAAAUUGCUAUUCAUGAGGUCGUAUGGUCCAGACAAAGCCAACAUCGUGGCAACAUUAAAUGACAAUAAUCGUUAGCAUAGGUGAUUACAGGGAUAAUGACAGAAAUGAUUAAUAUUUCUGAAGAUUUCCCCUCCAAUGCAUUGAGACUCACAUACAAUGAGAUCAAGACUAACAGAUAAGAAACCCUGGAAAAUACAAGUUCAUAUACUGAGAAAGGAAUAAAGAAUGAGAGAGAGGAAGGGAGGGAGGGAGAGAGCAAACCACGCACUCUUUGCGGCAUCCUAGCUGGCCCUCCUUGCAGGACACGACGACAAAAGCUGCACCAGGGAAGUUCACGUCCAUGCUGACCUUGGACUCCGAAACGGGAAACUCCUCCGAUGUAAACUGCUCGGGUGCGUUCUUCAAAACAAACAGAAAUUAAAAACAUUUACAAUCUGUUAA